rnacentral:rRNA from 1 species
AGGAUGAACGCUGGCGGCGUGCCUAACACAUGCAAGUCGAACGUCCUGUCUCGCAAGAGGCAGGGAGUGGCGGACGGGUGAGUACCACGUGGGUCAUCUACCGUGAGGUGAGGAAUACCGGCGAGAAAUCGCCGACAAGACCGCAUAGGCUCGAUGCAAGUCGAGCAAAGCUCUUUCGAGAGAGGGAGCGCCACACGAGGAGCCUGCGCCCGAUUAGCUAGCUGGUGGAGUAACGGUUCACCAGGGCGACGAUCGGUAGCUGGUCUGAGAGGACGAUCAGCCACACUGGGAUUGAGAACGGCCCAGACUCCUACGGGGGGCAGCAGUGAGGAAUUUUCGUCAAUGGGGGCAACCCUGAACGAGCAACGCCGCGUGCAGGAAGAAGGUUUCGGAUCGUAAACUGCUUUUCUCGGGAAGAGAACGGACGGUACCCGAGGAAUCAGCCCGGCUAACUACGUGCCAGCAGCCGC